GAACGCGAUAAGCCUGCUCUAAUCUGAACUAGUCCCUUAUUCAAGAGAAAGCAAAAGAUAAAUAUAAAAAUAAAGAACUUGAUGCUAUCACUUGGAACCCCAAAACUAACCUUAGCGACCAAAGCACGUACACGUUUUCACUGGAAUUUUCAAAGAAUUGAAUCAACUCCAAAAAAGUUAUUCCGUCCCCGUUUUUGGUGGUGACCACUUUUCCAGUUGAUUCAUUUGGAAAUUUACAGUGAGGGAAUACAAUUAAGUAAGAAUAUAUAUAGCAUUUGUAUAUAGACGAAGAGUAAAAGAUGAUGAACUGCAUGGGAAUACAAUUAAGUAACAGUAUAUAUAGCAUUUGUAUAUUAGGGCAAGAGUGACCAGACAUUGAACUGGUAGUACAAUUAAGUAGCCUAACAAUAUAAUUAUAUAGCAUUUGACAUUUGUAUGUUUCAUAAAUUUCAUGUAGUUUUAAACCAGUUACUGUUAAAAUUUUGAGAUGUGUACAAUAUAUAGCUAGC
rnacentral:lncRNA from 1 species